CCUACGGGAGACAGCAGUAGGGAAUCUUCCACAAUGGGCGAAAGCCUGAUGGAGCAACGCCGCGUGGGUGAAGAAGGUCUUCGGAUCGUAAAACCCUGUUGUUAGAGAAGAAAGUGCGUGAGAGUAACUGUUCACGUUUCGACGGUAUCUAACCAGAAAGCCACGGCUAACUACGUGCCAGCAGCCGCGGUAAUCCGUAGGUGGCAAGCGUUAUCCGGAUUUAUUGGGCGUAAAGGGAACGCAGGCGGUCUUUUAAGUCUGAUGGGAAAGCCUUCGGCUUAACCGGAGUAGUGCAUUGGAAACUGGGAGACUUGAGUGCAGAAGAGGAGAGUGGAACGCCAUGUGUAGCGGUGAAAUGCGUAGAUAUAUGGAAGAACACCAGUGGCGAAAGCGGCUCUCUGGUCUGUAACUGACGCUGAGGUUCGAAAGCGUGGGUAGCAAACAGGAUUAGAUACCCGGGUAGUC
rnacentral:rRNA from 1 species